rnacentral:rRNA from 1 species
ACGGGAGGCAGCAGUAGGGAAUUUUCGGCAAUGGGGGAAACCCUGACCGAGCAACGCCGCGUGAGUGAAGACGGCCUUCGGGUUGUAAAGCUCUGUUGCAGGGGAAGAACGGCUGAGAGAGAAUCUCAGAGUGACGGUACCCUGCCAGAAAGCCACGGCUAACUACGUGCCAGCAGCCGCGGUAAUACGUAGGUGGCAAGCGUUAUCCGGAAUUAUUGGGCGUAAAGGGUGCGCAGGCGGUCCGUUAAGUUUGUGGUCAAAGCGUUGGGCUCAACCCAAUAAAGCCACAGAUACUGGCGGACUAGAGUGCAGAAGAGGACAGUGGAAUUCCAUGUGUAGAGGUAAAAUUCGUAGAUAUAUGGAGGAACACCAGUGGCGAAGGCGGCUGUCUGGUCUGUAACUGACGCUCAGGCACGAAAGCGUGGGGAGCAAAUAGGAUUAGAUACCCUGGUA